ACUCAAAUGAAUAGACGGGGACCCGCACAAGCGGUGGAGCGUGUUGUUUAAUUCGAUGGUAAGCGAAGAACCUUACCCAGGCUUGACAUCCUUGGAAGUUCUGCGAAAGCAGAGUGUGCCUUCGGGAACCAAGUGACAGGUGAUGCAUGGCCGUCGUCAGCUCGUGUCGUGAGAUGUUUGGUUAAGUCCAUCAACGAGCGCAACCCUUAUAGUUAGUUGUAUUUCUCUAGCUAGACUGCCCUGGUAACAGGGAGGAAGGGGGGGAUGAUGUCAGGUCAGUAUUUCCCUUACGUCUGGGGCUACAAACACGCUACAAUGGCCGGUACAAAGGGCAGCCAAGUCGCAAGACGGAGCAAAUCCCAUCAAAGCCGGUCUCAGUUCGGAUUGCAGGCUGAAACUCGCCUGCAUGAAGCUGGAAUCGCUAGUAACGGUAGGUCAGCACACUACCGUGAAUACGUUCCCGGGUCUUGCACACACCGCCCGU
rnacentral:rRNA from 1 species